ACAAGGUCUCCGUUGGUGAACCAGCGGAGGGAUCAUUAUAGAGUUUUCUAAACUCCCAACCCAUGUGAACUUACCAUUGUUGCCUCGGCAGAAGCUGCUCGGUGCACCUUACCUUGGAACGGCCUACCCUGUAGCGCCUUACCCUGGAACGGCUUACCCUGCAACGGCUGCCGGUGGACUACCAAACUCUUGUUAUUUUAUGGUUAUCUGAGCGUCUUAUUUUAAUAAGUCAAAACUUUCAACAACGGAUCUCUUGGUUCUGGCAUCGAUGAAGAACGCAGCGAAAUGCGAUAAGUAAUGUGAAUUGCAGAAUUCAGUGAAUCAUCGAAUCUUUGAACGCACAUUGCGCCCAUUAGUAUUCUAGUGGGCAUGCCUGUUCGAGCGUCAUUUCAACCCUUAAGCCUAGCUUAGUGUUGGGAGCCUACUGCUUUUGCUAGCUGUAGCUCCUGAAAUACAACGGCGGAUCUGCGAUAUCCUCUGAGCGUAGUAAUUUUUAUCUCGCUUUUGACUGGAGUUGCAGCGUCUUUAGCCGCUAAACCCCCCAAUUUUUAAUGGUUGACCUCGGAUCAGGUAGGAAUACCCGCUGAACUUAAGCAUAUCAAUA
rnacentral:rRNA from 1 species